CUUUUGCUGGCGACCGGCGCACGGGUGAGUAACACGUAUCCAACCUGCCCUUUACUCGGGGAUAGCCUUUCGAAAGAAAGAUUAAUACCCGAUAGCAUAAUGAUUCCGCAUGGUUUCAUUAUUAAAGGAUUCCGGUAAAGGAUGGAGAUGCGUUCCAUUAGGUUGUUGGUGAGGUAACGGCUCACCAAGCCUUCGAUGGAUAGGGGUUCUGAGAGGAAGGUCCCCCACAUUGGAACUGAGACACGGUCCAA
rnacentral:rRNA from 1 species